CCUCAAUCCCAGUAUCACGCACCCAUGAUUCCACCACCUCCUAAAAGCCCCACCUAUGAGGCUUUGGGGGAACAUUGAGAUAUAAACCAGAGCAACCGCCCUAUCCUUGUGAUUGGCUUUCUCCCAAGCAGGCAGCUCUGAUGACUUGGGGAACUGAAGUGGCUGCCUUGAAAUCUUUGCCUUUUUCCCCACCCUCAUGAAGCAACCCACCAAAGAACAGAGGAGGGCUGAGAUUCCUAAUCUAAAGUUAAUCCCCAAGCUUUCUAAGUCCCAGAUCCUUUUCUCUCCCAGUGCAAGAAAAAUACAGGAAUUGCUGCUCCUGACAGCACAAGAAUGGUGAGUAGGGCAGGAAGGCUUGGUAUCUCCUCAAUGAUAGAGCAGUUUCUACAGCAUCUGUGGGUUCAGGUGCAAGGACUUAACCCCUUUCCUGCUGCCUCACACCUGUCUGUGCUAGGAGGAGCAGUAACAUGCUCAUCUGAGGAGUAUGAAAGAUGCUCCCAGAGGCCACCUCUUCUGUUCUGGAAUCACUAACGCGUUGUGUACACUGGACUUGGAAUACUCUGCAUUGACACUGACGAUGUCACAAUACGUCUUCAUUGGAUUAGUCAGGACACCCUCCCGAUCAAAGGGAAAUGGGAGCACACAGAACAUGGACCUCCACAGAUCAAUGCGUUGGCGCUUACCCAGCACAUAUGCGAACUGUGCCCUUACUUCAUCAGAGGCAACCAAGCAGCGCUCACUACGCAUAGCAAGAGACGUCGACGAGCUGCGUGCCAACAGCUGACUCUACAGAUGUCAGCAGCAGCUGCACGGUGCCCUCCUAAGACAUGUGAGGCGCAUUCUCCCUCUCCCUCUUUGCCUUUAGAAACUUUGAUGUCUGUGUGCAAAAUUAUUUUAUCUUUCACUUUAAACUCAUUUUGAAAUUAUACCCAGAUGUAUCCAGUCACUUUUACAAAAUGAGGUGCAGUUUGCUCAGAAGCCUGAAAUAAAAACAAGUGCUUGCGUCAAAUUAUUAGCCAG
rnacentral:lncRNA from 1 species